rnacentral:rRNA from 1 species
AGCGAACGCUGGCGGCAGGCCUAACACAUGCAAGUCGAACGAACUCUUCGGAGUUAGUGGCGGACGGGUGAGUAACACGUGGGAACGUGCCUUUAGGUUCGGAAUAACUCAGGGAAACUUGAGCUAAUACCGGAUGUGCCCUUCGGGGGAAAGAUUUAUCGCCUUUAGAGCGGCCCGCGUCUGAUUAGCUAGUUGGUGAGGUAAAGGCUCACCAAGGCGACGAUCAGUAGCUGGUCUGAGAGGAUGAUCAGCCACAUUGGGACUGAGACACGGCCCAAACUCCUACGGGAGGAAGCAGUGGGGAAUCUUGCGCAAUGGGCGAAAGCCUGACGCAGCCAUGCCGCGUGAAUGAUGAAGGUCUGAGGAUUGUAAAAUUCUUUCACCGGGGACGAUAAUGACGGUACCCGGAGAAGAAGCCCCGGCUAACUUCGUG